AGCUGGAUCAUUUUCCGAUAAUCAAAAAAAUACUUUUUUCUUUUCGGUUCCUCGCCUCCCGGCCUUUUAUUGAGGGGGAGGUUAAUAUAUUGAGGUGACCACCAAAGCAAGACUGAAAAAACAUUUGCCUCAUCACAAAUGCACAACAUUUAUGGUGAACGGCUUCCACAACGUGUCGCGAUGGAUGACUUGGCUUCCUAUUUCGUUGAAGAACGCAGCAAAGUGCGAUAAGUGGUAUCAAUUGCAGAAUCACCCAAUUACCGAAUCUUUGAACGCAAAAGGCGCCCGAGAGAAGCUGUUCACCAGUGAACCUCGUGCAUGCCGCAAAUCUCAGUGUCGAACAAAAAACAAAAACAAAAGAGAGUCUUGGGCUUUCUUCUUUUCUCUCAGAGAACAAAAGAACCCAAGUGGUUGCUCGAAAUUUUUUUCGAAAAAGACAAAAUGGGCAACAACCAAAAACAAAACCAAAAAAAAUAGAGAACGUAAUAAAUUCUUUAUUCUUUUUCAAUUAACGAGAAACGAAACGACAAAAAGAAGGCGUAAAACCCCUUCUUUUUUCUUUCAUUCCUCCGUUCACAGACCUGAGUGCGGCAGGACUACCCGCCGAACUUAAGCAUAUUACUCAGCGGAGGAAAAGAAAACAACCGUGAUUCCCUCAGUCAGCGGCGAGCGAAGAGGGACCGAACUCGUUGCCGAAUCGGGCCUCAACGGCCUUGAGUUGUGGCAAAAACGGCGUUCCGUGGUCGGUGCGGGAUUGGCGAAAUUCAAUGUGCAAAGCAAACCCUGCUGAACACAACCCUUCAUGUGAGUAUUGAGCCAUAGAAGGUGGUAGCCCAUUGAGCCAAGAACCGAGCGCCCCACUGGAUGCUCAUAGAGAGUAGCACUGCUUGGGAAUGCAGUGUCAAGCGGCAGGUAUUUGUCUGCCAAAGUUAAACACAGAGUAGGAAGACCGAUAUCGAACAAGUAGCGUGAGCGAAAGUUUGAAAAGCACUUUGGAAAGAGAGUGACAUAGAACCUGAAGUCGUGACAAUGAUAAUGGAAGUACCUCCAUUUCACUGGCCAAAACCAGCCUUCAAAGCAUUAUCCUCCCCGGCGCACCCGUCAAAAAGGAGCGCUGGGGCAACAAGUGCGGACAAGGGGCUCUGGUGAAACGAGCGGAGAUAAAAGUCGGGAGCACUGCGCGUCAAAAACGCAGCGAGCCCCGGCUUCUCCGUGAUGCUCAAUGUUGGCAAACCGAAAUGGGGUGCCUUCACCCGUCUUGAAACACGGACCAAGGAGUCAAACAGACGCGCAAGGGGGAAGAUACACACAAAAAAUACUUCUCUCGUACUGAAAGGGUUUCUUUUUAUUUGGUGUGCACACAAAACGAAUGCCCAACACCGACCGGCCCCCCGUGGGUUGAGUUUGAGUGUGCCUGUUUGGACCCGAAAGGUGGUGAACUAUACCUGAACAAGGUGAAGCCCGGGGAAACCCAGGUGGAGGCCUGUAGCGAUGCUGACGUGCAAAUCGCUCGCAUGAUUUGGGUAUCGGAGCGAAAGACUCAUCGAACCACCUAGUAGCUGGUUCACAU
rnacentral:misc_RNA from 1 species